UACGUAGGGUGCAGGCGUUGUCCGGAAUUAUUGGGCGUAAAGAGCUCGUAGGCGGUCUGUCGCGUCGGAUGUGAAAAUCCAGGGCUCAACCCUGGACCUGCAUUCGAUACGGGCAGACUAGAGUUCGGUAGGGGAGACUGGAAUUCCUGGUGUAGCGGUGAAAUGCGCAGAUAUCAGGAGGAACACCGGUGGCGAAGGCGGGUCUCUGGGCCGAAACUGACGCUGAGGAGCGAAAGCGUGGGGAGCAAACAGG
rnacentral:rRNA from 1 species